GGGGGGAUAACUGCGCGAAAGCGUUGCUAAUACCGCAUACGACCUACGGGUGAAAGCAGGGGACCGCAAGGCCUUGCGUCGAUGGAGCGGCCGAUGCCGGAUUAGCUAGUUGGUGAGGUAAAGGCUCACCAAGGCGACGAUCCGUAGCUGGUCUGAGAGGACGACCCAGCCACACUGGGACUGAGACACGGCCCAGACUCCUACGGGAGGCAGCAGUGGGGAAUCUUGGACAAUGGGCGAAAGCCUGAUCCAGCAAUGCCGCGUGUGGGAAGAAGGCCUUCGGGUUGUAAACCACUUUUGGCGGGAAAGAAAUGGUCUGUGCUAAUACCACGGAUUGAUGACGGUACCCGCAGAAUAAGCACCGGCUAACUACGUG
rnacentral:rRNA from 1 species